rnacentral:rRNA from 1 species
GACGAACGCUGGCGGCGUGCUUAACACAUGCAAGUCGAACGGAAAGGCCCUGCUUUUGUGGGGUGCUCGAGUGGCGAACGGGUGAGUAACACGUGAGUAACCUGCCCUUGACUUUGGGAUAACUUCAGGAAACUGGGGCUAAUACCGGAUAGGAGCUCCUGCUGCAUGGUGGGGGUUGGAAAGUUUCGGCGGUUGGGGAUGGACUCGCGGCUUAUCAGCUUGUUGGUGGGGUAGUGGCUUACCAAGGCUUUGACGGGUAGCCGGCCUGAGAGGGUGACCGGCGACAUUGGGACUGAGAUACGGCACAGACUCCUACGGGAGGCAGCAGUGGGGAAUAUUGCACAAUGGGCGGAAGCCUGAUGCAGAAACGCCGCGUGCGGGAUGACGGCCUUCGGGUUGUAAACCGAUUUCGACUGUGACGAAGCGUGAGUGACGGUAAUGGGUAAAGAAGCACCGGCUAACUACGUG